UUUUUUUUUUUUUUUUUGAGACAGAGUCUCGCUCUGCCGCCCAGGCUGGAGUGCAGUGGCGUGAUCUUGGCUCACUGCAAGCUCCGCCUCCCGGGUUCACGCCAUUCUCCUGCCUCAGCCUCCCGAGUAGCUGGGACUACAGGCGCCCACCACCUCGCCCGGCUAGUUUUUUGUAUUUUUUAGUAGAGACGGGGUUUCACUGUGUCAGCCAGGAUGGUCUCGAUCUCCUGACCUCGUGAUCCGCCCGUCUCGGCCUCCCAAAGUGCUGGGAUUACAGGCUUGAGCCACCGCGCCCAGCCGAGUCAAGUUCUUUAGGGUUGAUUUGUGGUAGGCAAAGCCACCCUAAGGUGCUGCUAGUCCUAUGGCUGCCCUGAUUCCCACCAGAACCAAUCCUAUUGCUUGUUAACUUCUGGUGUUCCUGGGCCUUAUUGGGUUAUAGACUGUGACCCUUGGAGGGGCAAGGGUGGCCAACAUACAUUUAUCUUUGUUCCAAGUUUUAGAUAUAUAAGGGAAAGCUACUCCUGAAAGAACAGAUGGCUCCCUGGGGAGCCAGGAGUAGUUACAGCAGGUGACUUCUCAUUCAUGGCCACAAACAAAAAUGAGUCCAGUUGGAGCAUAAAUAGAGGCCCUACAGGGUGUGAUGUCUAUCCUUUGCUGCCAAGUUUGGUCUAUAGAGAUAUUCUUCCCCUGUUCCAAUGGGGGUGGUCAAACAAACCUUGUUUUCCAGAAGCAAACCCUCCUAGAUUAGGCAGUGGUUUUUUUCCCUGUAUGUUCUAGUCUGAGAGAAGACACCAUAUAUGGUCUCCUUGCCUACAAGCGGCAUAUAUGGUCUCCUUGCCAUUUACCUUGCUUUUGCCUUGGAAAUUUGGUAACUAUAGUUAGAUCAGAGCAUCACAAGGAAACGUCUGCUUUUGUGUCAUUAACACAGUAGUGGAUGCAAAAGAAUCGUUAAUGCACUGGAGAUAUACUCAACUUUUCAAGUCCAGGUAUAAUGGCAAGUGUGGAAGGGGACGUUCAGGUGGAAUCCAUUAAGUGGAGGAGAGUUCCACUGAAUAAGUAGGGGUUUAGGUACUUUGGGAUUGCUAUGGUUAGUUAGAAGUACUGGAUAGAUGGCUGUGAGAUCUUCCAGAUAGGCCAGAAGAUGGAACUCUAGAUCCUGGGGAUGUUGAUGACAAGUCCAGCAACCAUGAAGAUGAUUCCCUGACACUAUGAUUUUUGAAAUGUUUACUAUAGAGGUUUGAUCUAAUUAGAACAAUUUGAGGAUUUCUGUCUAAACUUUCACCUAGUGAGAGCUUUAUGUCCCUAAUGAUAGAUAUUCAUGGCACUGUAUAGAGGGAUAUUUCACCCUGAGUGAAUGCUCUUCUCCCUCUCCAUUUGGGUUGUGUUUUUCCUCCAUGUAAAAACUCAGGACUGCUCAAUGAAUCUAGACAGUUCCAUUAUGAGACAGGUUAAUUUUCUUCUUCUGGAAGGCAUACAAUGGGGACAACCUAUUAAUCCCCAAACCUCUCUUUCUAACUUCUUCCUGGAAAGAAUUUGGAGUCAGAGUUCUUAU
ensembl:lncRNA